rnacentral:rRNA from 1 species
UACGUAGGAGACAAGCGUUAUCCGGAUUCAUUGGGCGUAAAGUGUGCGUAGGCUCCUUAAAUAGUCGUACCUUAAAUACUAAGGCUUAACCUUGGAACUGGGUACGAUACUUUUAAGGUAGAGGAUUGUCAGGGGUACUGGAACAGUUAGUGUAGCAGUGAAAUGCGUUGAUAUUAACUGGAACACCAAAGGCGAAGGCAAGUACCUGGGAUUUUCCUGACGCUGAGGCACGAAAGCUAGGGGAGCGAAACAG